rnacentral:rRNA from 1 species
UACAGAGGUCUCAAGCGUUGUUCGGAUUCAUUGGGCGUAAAGGGUGUGUAGGUGGCGCCGUAAGUCGGGUGUGAAAUUUCGGAGCUUAACUCCGAAACUGCAUUCGAUACUGCGGUGCUUGAGGACUGGAGAGGAGACUGGAAUUCAUGGUGUAGCAGUGAAAAUGCGUAGAGAUCAUGAGGAAGACCAGUGGCGAAGGCGGGUCUCUGGACAGUUCCUGACACUGAGGCACGAAGGCCAGGGGAGCAAACGGG